CUUUUUUUAAUCACUUUUGACAUUGUUAGUCAGCAGGUUUGCUGACACCCAGUAACUUGAUAGGGGAGUAUUUUUGAAUAUCAAACAGUGUCAUCCUUUUGACUAUUUUUUCCUCUAUUGAAGAGAAGAAUGAAUUUGGUGAGAACCCUGGAGAAGCACUAACAUUUUGGCAGAAGGAAGGUCUAUACUAUACAGUGCUGGUGGAAGGAAACACUUUCCUAAUUGCAGUCUGUGCUGCACACUCAACAGAAUUAACUCUGGGAAUCAGCUAUGUUUACCUUCUGCAAGCUUUCAGUGAUAACAAAAGCUGAAGACUGAGAAGUUGUUUCAGAUCAGAGCUCUAAACUGUGAAAUAGAAGAUGGC
rnacentral:lncRNA from 1 species